ensembl:lncRNA
GUUCAGUUCAGUUCAGUCGCUCAGUCGUGUCUGACUCUUUGCUACCCCAUGAAUCACAGCACGCCAGGCCUCCCUGUCCAUCACCAACUCCGGGAGUUCACUCAGACUCAUGUCCAUCGAGCCAGUGAUGCCAUCCAGCCAUCUCAUCCUCAGUCAUCCCCUUCUUCUCCUACCGCAAUCCCUCCCAGCAUCAAAGUCUUUUCCAAUGAGUCAACUCUUCACAUGAGGUGGCCAAAGUACUGGAGUUUCAGCUUUAGCAUCAUUUGUCCACAACCAUAGAAUGUACAAUAUCAAAAGUGAAGUCUAAGAGGUGGUUCUGGCUCCUGUCAAGAUUGAAUAAGCAAUAUUCACCUUGUGUGAAAGGAGGGCAUAUCUACCCACUACAGUAUUUGCCUGGAGAAUCCCAUGGACAGAGGAGCCUGGCAGGCUACAGACUAUGAGGUCACAAAGAGCCAGACAUGACUGAGUGAUUAAGCACACACACAGCAACCUGUCUUAACUGCAUAACCACCUGAGGACUUUGGAGAGUAAUAGCAGCUGGAUUCCAUUCAGGAUAGUGAUCGUGUCUCCUUAUGCUCAUUUCGACUGUAGACAAUUUUUGAAAUCUUCCUUAUUUCUGAUGACCUUGACAAUUUUGAGGGGUACUGGUUAGAGAGCUUAUAGGAUAUUCCUCAGCUGGGGUUUUUUUUCAUAAUUGGACCAUUGCAAUGGUUUUUUUGAGGAUGACUGCCACCACAGCUGCCCGCGCCCCUUGCCCAGGGGCGGCAGCCAAGAGGAGUUACCCCACAUCAGAGGUCAGGGGCAGUGGCCGAGAGUGCCCAGCUGCAACAGCACAGGGAUGGCUGAGAGGAGCUACCCCGCAUCCUGGGUCAGGGGCGGCGGCCAGGAGGAGUAACCCCACGUCCAAGGAGCUGUGGCUGCGUGGGUGCAGGAGGGCCUAGAGGAGCUAUUCCACAUUCGAGGUCAGGAGGGGCGGUGGUGAGGAAAUACCCCUCAUCCAAGGUAAGGAGCAGCGGCUACACUUUGCUGGAGCAGCAGUGAAGAGAUACCCCGCAUCCAAGGUAAGAGAAACCCAAGUAAGAUGGUAGGUGUUGCAAGAGGGCAUCAGAGGGCAGACACACUGAAACCAUACUCACAGAAAACUAGUCAAUCUAAUCACACUAGGACCACAGCCUUGUCUAACACAAUGAAACCUCUGUAGAUGGUGCACGACAGAAGAGCCUAACGUGCUGUAGUUAAUGGGGUUGCAAAAAGUCAGAUAAGACUUAAUGACUGAAAACCACAAAAUCGUAUGUUUAUGACAGCCUUUACUAAAACCACCUGAAACUGAAUAGUCCAAAUGUUCCUCAAUCAAUAAAUCAAUCAAACCAAAUGCAGAACAUUCAUACAAUGGAAUGCUACUCAGGCAUAAAAAGAAAUGCAUCAUUAGAAUUGCAACAAUGUGGAUGAAUGUCCAAGGCACUGUUUUCAGUGAAAGAAGGCAGUCUCAACAGUUACAUACUGUAUAUGACUUUAUAUGACUUUCUGGAAAAUGUAAACCUAUAGAGACAAUGGAGGAGCAUGGUGGGCUAAAGUCCACAGGGUUGCAAAGAGUCGGGCACGACUCAGCGACUUCACUUAUAGAGACAAAGAUAAGAUCAGAGGUUGCCAGGGCUGAGUCAUGAGGGGACAGUUUGACUACAAAUAGACAACAUAAAAAAAUUGAGGAGACUUCCCUGGUGGUGCAGUGGAUAGGAAUCUGCCUGCCAAUGCAGGGGACACAGGUUUAAUCUCUGGUUCGGGAAGAUUCACAUGCCGUGGAGCAACUAAGCCUGUGUACCACAACUACUAAGCCCAAACUCUAGAGCCUGUGGGCUGCAACUAGCGAAGCCCAUGCACCCCAGAGCCACACACCAUGACUACUGAGCCUGCUGUGCGGCUACUGAAGCCUGGGCACCUAGAGCCUGUGCUCCACAAGAGAAGCCCCUGCAAUGAGAAACCUGCACACUGCAACAGAGAGCAGCCUCUACUCACCACAGCUAGAGGAAGCCCACACAGAAACAAAGACCCAGUGCAUCCAGAAAAAAAAAAAAAAACAAAAACAAAAA